GGCUGGUCCGCGUGCGGUGGUGUUUACAAUUAAUUGAUCACAGCCAGUUACGGAUUUCUUUGUUUCUUCUCCACUCCCACUGCUUCACAUGACUUAAA
rnacentral:Y_RNA from 1 species